UAAACGAUGAGUGCUAGGUGUUAGNCCCUUUCCGGGGUUUAGUGCCGCAGCUAACGUAUUAAGCACUCCGCCUGGGGAGUACGACCGCAAGGUUGAAACUCAAAGGAAUUGACGGGGGCCCGCACAAGCGNUGGAGCANNNNNUUUAAUUCGAAGCAACGCGAAGAACCUUACCAGGUCNUGACAUCCCUCUGACCGCUCUAGAGAUAGAGUUUUCCUUCGGGACAGAGGUGACAGGUGGUGCAUGGUUGUCGUCAGCUCGCGUCGUGAGAUGUUGGGUUAAGUCCCGCAACGAGCGCAACCCCUAUUGUUAGUUGCCAUCAUUUAGUUGGGCACUCUAGCGAGACUGCCGGUAAUAAACCGGAGGAAGGUGGGGAUGACGUCAAAUCAUCAUGCCCCUUAUGACCUGGGCUACACACGUGCUACAAUGGCUGGUACAACGAGUCGCAAGCCGGUGACGGCAAGCUAAUCUCUUAAAGCCAGUCUCAGUUCGGAUUGUAGGCUGCAACUCGCCUACANGAAGUCGGAAUCGCUAGUAAUCGNGGAUCAGCACGCCGCGGUGAAUACGUUCCCGGGCCUUGUAC
rnacentral:rRNA from 1 species